UAGCGCGGUGGUCCCACCUGACCCCAUGCCGAACUCAGAAGUGAAACGCCGUAGCGCCGAUGGUAGUGUGGGGUCUCCCCAUGCGAGAGUAGGGAACUGCCA
rnacentral:rRNA from 3 species